AUUGAACGCUGGCGGCAUGCCUUACACAUGCAAGUCGAACGGUAGAGGGGGCAACCCCUCGAGAGUGGCGAACGGGUGAGUAAAGCAUCGGAACGUGCCCAGUAGUGGGGGAUAGCCCGGCGAAAGCCGGAUUAAUACCGCAUACGACCUACGGGUGAAAGGGGGGGAUCGCAAGACCUCUCGCUAUUGGAGCGGCCGAUGUCAGAUUAGGUAGUUGGUGGGGUAAAGGCCUACCAAGCCGACGAUCUGUAGCUGGUCUGAGAGGACGACCAGCCACACUGGGACUGAGACACGGCCCAGACUCCUACGGGAGUCAGCAGUGGGGAAUUUUGGACAAUGGGCGCAAGCCUGAUCCAGCCAUGCCGCGUGCGGGAAGAAGGCCUUCGGGUUGUAAACCGCUUUUGUCAGGGAAGAAAUCCUUUGAGCUAAUACCUCGGGGGGAUGACGGUACCUGAAGAAUAAGCACCGGCUAACUACGUGCCAGCAGCCGCGGUAACAC
rnacentral:rRNA from 1 species